ACACUGAGUCUGCCCUUAAGUAAAAGUGUCUAUUUACUGUUCUCCUUAUAGCUGACUUCGGUUCUUCUGACUGUUCUCCUUAUAGCUGACUUCGGUUCUUCUUUCUGGAUCAAGUCCCAGGUAAGAUCUGAGGGCGAAAGCAGUAGGUAGGGUUGGAGACCCACGAGGCUUGAGCUGUUCUCGAGUCCAUAGUCUCGACCAAUUAUAUUGUUCUCGAUCCGGUCAUGCGAAUAUCAAAUAAGACAUUUCACGCCUCUAAGGUAAGGUUAGAUUCUGGUCGUGGGCUGCCGCGAUCAUGAUGAAAUGGGCCUUUUGAAAGGAAGUUAGGGUUUUGGCUUACGGCUUAUCUUAGAUCUGGCAGAGAAAAGAAAGGUAUUGAGCCAACUGGAGCCCACUCGCGGGAGCCACCGAGGAACUCACCCAUCACCCUCACACAGUUACCACUUAUUUCAUAUAUAAGGGAUAGACAGAUACUUGGGUAUUUCUUUCUUAUAUCAUUCACUGGGGAAUUGGGAGUACUUAUCUAUUUGAUUCUUUGAAAUUUCUUAUCUAUUUCUUAUUUCUAGAUUUCUUAUCUAUUUCUUAUUUCUAGAUUUCUUAUUUCUUUCUUAUUUAUGGAUUUCUUAUUUCUUUCUUAUUUCGGAUUUCUUUAUUCUUUUAUAGGCAUAGGCAACCGAAGAAGCCUUAACAAACGCGCUCAGAAAGACACAGAUGCGACGCCAAAACAAGCAACGACGAGAACAACACGCGACAGCGGACGCGCAAAUCAGCUGACUAUUUUGACUAGCAGGAGAAACGCCCGAAGCGAUCAGAUACCGACAAACUGAGAAUCAUGAACCACACAAACGACCAAGCUCCAAAAAAGUCCAACUUCAGAAGAUACAUAUUAGUAACUCUGUCCAGAGCUGAUGCAACCAAGGAGAGAGCGACCAUCAAAAGACAAGAAAUUGUACUAAGGGUAGAGAAGGCACUAAAGUGCUUCAGUAUUCUAGUCGCGAGGGAGCAUCACGCAGAACAGGGGCUUCGAACACCCAGUCACUCACCGGCAAGCGUAUACUAGACAAGAAAGCCAGCAAGCUUCAAAACGAGUACUUUCUUCCUCCCCUCACCAGGUUAGGGAUAUUCUAAGAAUAGGGUACGAUCUAGUCCCGCCGAUUCCUCUGAUCUAGUCCCGCCGAUUCCUCUGAUCUUGGGGACUUCCCCGGAGCUGAACCUUUCUACUGUGGAGCUUCUGUUUGGACUGGCGAAUGAAACAAGUAAGUUGCAGAGACAAGCAGCGUAUACUACAAAGGCGAGGAGAUAACCAAUAAGUAACGAAUGCAACACUAACAGAUAGACGACAACUUCAUAAUACAAAUCCAGAUUGGAACCACUGCUAGCAGGCUCACUACCCUUGCUUUGGUUCUGUAAUAACUUAUGAGGAUCUGACUUACUACUACCUUAGUCAUGGUUUCUUAUCACUAUCAAACUAUAAGUAUGAAUAUUGCACUAGAUCAGACUCUCUAUUAAUACUCUAAUUCUUAUUGUGUUCGUUAUCUAAGAUAAGACUAAAGUUCGGAGAGGCAGACUAACACUCGCUCAUAGGAGAUCCGUACAUGGAGUUCAAUCUAUUUAAAUCUAUUGGCUAGUUUUGAUUUGUUUAGUUCUAUUACAAAGUAUACGUUGAUUAUACGUUGUCCGCACGUUGCCUGUACGUUGCCUUUAGUCGAGUUAAAGCCUUAUUGGUUGGUGCCAUGCCAUACGGAGGCGUCAAUCAAUGUUUCUUCAAUCAAUGUUUCAAUCAAUCCAAUAGGGUUGGUUUUGUGCCAUACUAGGGUUUGGUGUCAAUCAAUUCAUAAUAGGCUUGUGUUACGCGCCAAGUAACUACUACAAAAACAUAGCUGCAAAUGAAUACGUUAUAACUCGAGGAAACAUGAAUACUUUAUAACUAAUUAUAACCAAGUCCUUCUCUUGGGAGUCCUAAUCUAGAGCGGCAGUCCCUUCUUCCGCUGUUCUGGCUUUGAUGCGAGGGCAGCGUCAGCUGCUGGCUCCUACUUCCUUUCUUUCUAGUUUUCACCGUAAAGUUUCACCCUCGAGUCGUUGUUGAAGG
rnacentral:lncRNA from 1 species